CUGCAGUUAGAAGCAAGCUGAAACUUGCUGUUUGCAAGAGGCUUUGGCCAGAGAAGCAGUCGUCAGGAAGAAGAAAACUGGUCUUAUCAGCCUCAGGGAUCACUGUUGUUCUUAGGAUUGCAGGACAGAAAGAAGAUACUUAAGAUAAUAUAUCAAGAUUUUGAGCAGAGUUGUGUUGUGUGGUAUGUUCUCAAAGAGAUCUGUGCUUUACCAGCUCUCUUUCACCAUCAGAGUCCAUAAAUACUGAAGAAGAUGCAUGCGUCUCUGAGGGUGUCCAUCAAAGCCAGAUACUGAAUGUGUUUAUAUUUUGCAGUAUUGAGAUCUCCAGAAUUUUACUUCUGACCUGAGAAUUGAAUCCCGUUCAACCCACACAGUACAUACAGUGUGCACUUUGGCAGCUGGGAUUUGGUACAGAAAUAUUUUCCUUGU
rnacentral:lncRNA from 1 species